CCUACGGGUGGCAGCAGUGAGGAAUAUUGGUCAAUGGACGAGAGUCUGAACCAGCCAAGUAGCGUGAAGGAUGACUGCCCUAUGGGUUGUAAACUUCUUUUAUAUGGGAAUAAAAUGUUCCACGUGUGGGAUUUUGUAUGUACCAUAUGAAUAAGGAUCGGCUAACUCCGUGCCAGCAGCCGCGGUAAUACGGAGGGUCCGAGCGUUAUCCGGAUUUCUUGGGUUUAAAGGGAGCGUAGGUGGAUUGUUAAGUCAGGUGUGAAAGUUUGCGGCUCAACCGUAAAAUUGCAGUUGAAACUGGCAGUCUUGAGUACAGGAGAGGUGGGCGGAAUUCGUGGUGUAGCGGUGAAAUGCUUAGAUAUCACGAAGAACUCCGAUUGCGAAGGCAGCUCACUGGACUGCAACUGACGCUGAGGAGCGAAAGCGUGGGUAGCAAACAGGAUUAGAUACCCGUGUAGUC
rnacentral:rRNA from 1 species